UUGUUGGUAAGGUAAAAGCUUACCAAGGCUUCGAUCAGUAGCUGGUCUGAGAGGACGACCAGCCACACUGGGACUGAGACACGGCCCAGACUCCUACGGGAGGCAGCAGUGGGGAAUUUUGGACAAUGGGGGCAACCCUGAUCCAGCCAUGCCGCGUGAGUGAAGAAGGCCUUCGGGUUGUAAAGCUCUUUCAGCCGGAACGAAACGGUUACGGUUAAUACCCGUGACUACUGACGGUACCGGAAGAAGAAGCACCGGCUAACUACGUGCCAGCAGCCGCGGUAAUACGUAGGGUGCGAGCGUUAAUCGGAAUUACUGGGCGUAAAGCGUGCGCAGGUGGUUUUGUAAGUCAGAUGUGAAAGCCCCGGGCUCAACCUGGGAACUGCGUUUGAAACUACAAGACUAGAGUGUGGCAGAGGGGGGUGGAAUUCCGCGUGUAGCAGUGAAAUGCGUAGAGAUGUGGAGGAACACCGAUGGCGAAGGCAGCCCCCUGGGUCAACACUGACGCUCAGGCACGAAAGCAUGGGGAGCAAACAGGAUUAGAUACCCUGGUAGUCCAUGCCCUAAACGAUGUCAACUAGUUGUCGGGCCUUUACGGGCUUGGUAACGUAGCUAACGCGUGAAAUUGACCGCCUGGGGAGUACGAUCGCAAGAUUAAAACUCAAAUGAAUUGACGGGGACCCGCACAAGCGGUGGAUUAUGUGGAUUAAUUCGAUGCAACGCGAAAAACCUUACCUACCCUUGACAUGUAUCGAAGCCCGCAGAAAAGCGGGGGUGCCCGAAAGGGAACGAUAACACAGGUGCUGCAUGGCUGUCGUCAGCUCGUGUCGUGAGAUGUUGGGUUAAGUCCCGCAACGAGCGCAACCCUUGUCAUUAAUUGCCAUCAUUUAGUUGGGCACUUUAAUGAGACUGCCGG
rnacentral:rRNA from 1 species